UCCACUAUAAGACCUAGAACCUUGUACAGAAGAGACGGUACUUUCAUCAGUGGCAUAUCCUUUCUCUUUUUCAGGCCCUCUGGUGGAAGAAGGUCUGAAACCCAUACCAAUCUGCCGAAGUUGUUCAUCAAUCUGUAAGCGUUCCAUUCUUAGUUGUUCUACUUCCUACAAUCAAAACAGAAAUGCUCCAGCAGCAUUGUGCCAUGUGUCCCCCAAAGAAUGACAGGAUGGAAAAAUGGAAGAAAAAGGACUGGAGCAUGACCACACCCUAUUGGGAAGUAUGCUUACACUCAAAUGCUCUCUCUCUUGCCAAAGUACAUAUCCUAUGGCUAAAAAGAAAGAAGUCUAGAGCUAGUGCUAGAGCUGUACUCUCUUUUAAAUGAAGAAGCUGUGACAUUAGUUGGUGAACUAGCACUGUGUUGUAGUAAACACAAUUCAAGGUCAUUUGCUGAUUCAAUUUAAAUGCUUAUGAAUACUUUAGAAUGUGCUACCAACAUAUAAUAUCAAAGAUAAUAAGGACUCUCCAACUUCAAGAUUUUUAAAAAACAGUUAUAUAAAACUGUUAUCUAGAGAAAACUGUUGGCUAAAAGAGAUAAAAAGAGUACCAGAAAAUAAAGUGUUAGCUUACAGUAUCAUUGUGAAUCGAAACUUAUAAAGAUGACUUUCAAAUAAAAGGAAUUAUUGGAGUGCUUUCAACAUACUAACAGUGGGGCCAAGUGAUAGUGCAGUGGUAAUGCAACUGGACCCAUGUAAGAAGGGGACUUUCUUGUGCAUACUGGGCACACAGGGCAUGCUCAUCAUCCAGGCUGGGC